AGGAAACAGAGGCCAUGAGGAGGAAAUUGCAGGCUACUAAUAAUAAAAAGUUGAUACUGUCAGAUGAAGUUAGGUAAUUUGCAGUUCAUAGGGAUUUUCUUUAUUCAUUCUCAUGUUUUGAUUUGAACUCAAUAUUUUUUUCAUAGUUUGAUGUUUAUCAUCCAUGGAGUUUAUGCUCAGCACCAUCACAUUUUUAACUGCAGAUUUUUAAGGCAACGUUACAUAUACUUGCUGAAAAACCCUUCUCCAAAGCCUCAACCAAAGCAACUAGUUCCGAAGCCGCAAAAGCUCAAAAUCCAACCUUCCUACACCUCAAAGGGCAGGAAUUACAAAAGAAAGGAAUCUACUUCCCGCGUCCAUAAUACUUCUCCUUUGAAACCAAAAGAAAGGAUUUUCAAUGGGGCUGAAGUAGCAUUGCAAAGAACUGGCCUUAUGUUUGAUUUAAACCAAAAUGGUAGGAGCUUUAACAAAAAGGAUUCUUUUCUUCACAGUUCUGCCCCAGUUCUUGACUUGAAUCACAAUAAUAGGAAUCACAGUGGGGAAGAAGCCACAAAGAAGAGUUUAUGCAUCUGUUUUGGUGCCUUGCAGAGAGAAGAGGAGGAAUUACUGAGCAACACUGAAGCCAUGAGGACUGAAGAACCAAGGAAAAAUACACUAAGAGUCGCGAGUGAUGAGCAACACAAUGAUAUGAAGCUAUUGGUUUGUAGAAACAUAGGGGAUGGGUCAAAUAGAACAGGGAAGAGGAAGAUUUCAUGGCAAGACCAGGUUGCAUUAAGGGUUUGAU
rnacentral:lncRNA from 1 species